CCUUAUUUACGAAGGUAUAGACUAGAAAUUUGUUUAUUUUGAUAGCUUUAGCAUAUGCUAAAGCUAUCAAAAUAAACAACCAUGCUUCAAAAAUUAUUCUUCGUUACCUAUUAUCUUUUUUAUUACAACAAAAAAAUCAAAUGGAAUUAUCCUAAUUUUGAACAAAACAUCAAUCCAUGUUUAAUUCGAAUCUAAAUUCNNN
rnacentral:lncRNA from 1 species